GGGCAUGGCGCAGCUACACAUGCAGUCGAGCGGUAGCACAGAGAGCUUGCUCUCGGGUGACGAGCGGCGGACGGGUGAGUAAUGUCUGGGAAACUGCCUGAUGGAGGGGGAUAACUACUGGAAACGGUAGCUAAUACCGCAUAACGUCGCAAGACCAAAGUGGGGGACCUUCGGGCCUCAUGCCAUCAGAUGUGCCCAGAUGGGAUUAGCUAGUAGGUGGGGUAACGGCUCACCUAGGCGACGAUCCCUAGCUGGUCUGAGAGGAUGACCAGCCACACUGGAACUGAGACACGGUCCAGACUCCUACGGGAGGCAGCAGUGGGGAAUAUUGCACAAUGGGCGCAAGCCUGAUGCAGCCAUGCCGCGUGUGUGAAGAAGGCCUUCGGGUUGUAAAGCACUUUCAGCGGGGAGGAAGGCGUUAAGGUUAAUAACCUUGUCGAUUGACGUUACCCGCAGAAGAAGCACCGGCUAACUCCGUGCCAGCAGCCGCGGUAAUACGGAGGGUGCAAGCGUUAAUCGGAAUUACUGGGCGUAAAGCGCACGCAGGCGGUCUGUCAAGUCGGAUGUGAAAUCCCCGGGCUCAACCUGGGAACUGCAUUCGAAACUGGCAGGCUAGAGUCUUGUAGAGGGGGGUAGAAUUCCAGGUGUAGCGGUGAAAUGCGUAGAGAUCUGGAGGAAUACCGGUGGCGAAGGCGGCCCCCUGGACAAAGACUGACGCUCAGGUGCGAAAGCGUGGGGAGCAAACAGGAUUAGAUACCCUGGUAGUCCACGCCGUAAACGAUGUCGAUUUGGAGGUUGUGCCCUUGAGGCGUGGCUUCCGGAGCUAACGCGUUAAAUCGACCGCCUGGGGAGUACGGCCGCAAGGUUAAAACUCAAAUGAAUUGACGGGGGCCCGCACAAGCGGUGGAGCAUGUGGUUUAAUUCGAUGCAACGCGAAGAACCUUACCUGGUCUUGACAUCCACAGAACUUUCCAGAGAUGGAUUGGUGCCUUCGGGAACUGUGAGACAGGUGCUGCAUGGCUGUCGUCAGCUCGUGUUGUGAAAUGUUGGGUUAAGUCCCGCAACGAGCGCAACCCUUAUCCUUUGUUGCCAGCGGUUCGGCCGGGAACUCAAAGGAGACUGCCAGUGAUAAACUGGAGGAAGGUGGGGAUGACGUCAAGUCAUCAUGGCCCUUACGACCAGGGCUACACACGUGCUACAAUGGCAUAUACAAAGAGAAGCGACCUCGCGAGAGCAAGCGGACCUCAUAAAGUAUGUCGUAGUCCGGAUUGGAGUCUGCAACUCGACUCCAUGAAGUCGGAAUCGCUAGUAAUCGUAGAUCAGAAUGCUACGGUGAAUACGUUCCCGGGCCUUGUACACACCGCCCGUCACACCAUGGGAGUGGGUUGCAAAAGAAGUAGGUAGCUUAACCUUCGGGAGGGCGCUACCACUUUGAUCAGGC
rnacentral:rRNA from 1 species